rnacentral:rRNA from 1 species
AUGGCCCAUAAUGAUGAGGCCCGCGGUUUGGGCGGCAAGCAAUUCUGGGAGCUGUCCCAGGAGUUGGAGGAAGAACCUCACCGCUAUGAGGACGCCGCGGAAGACACCGAUCUUGACUACACAACCCCUAGCGGCGUCGGGGAUGACACCACUGAUGAUGGCGGCACGGAUGCCACCACUGAUGAUGGCGGCACACGCACAGAUGGCAGCCAACCGAAGAGUCAACGGAAGGACCGGCGCCCGAACAUGCUCGGCACCGUCAGGGAGGAAUUUACUGAAGUGAACUCCGACGGGCAUCCGACGGCGCCCAAACACGUAGUCAAGGGGUACUCGGUUCAGCUCAGGUGCAUUCUUUGA